ensembl:lncRNA
AGAGUGAGAAAGGAAGAAAGGAAAGGGGGAAGGAAAGGAAAAGAGAGGAGGGGAGGGGAGAUGAAGGGAGAGGGAAUGGGGAGGGAAUGGGGAAGGAAGGAAAAAGAGAAUGAAAAGGGAAAUUUAAAAGGGGAGGAAAGGGAAGGGAAUGAAAGGAAAGGGGAGGGGAGGGGAGAUGAGGGGAGAGAGAAUGGGGAGGGGAGGAAAAAGGGAAUGAAAAGGGAAAUUUAAAAGGAGAGGAGAGGAGAGGAGAGGAGAGGAGAGGAGAGGAGAAAAAAAAGAGGAGAGGAGAGAAGAGGAGGGAAGAGGAGGGAAGAGGAGGGAAGAGGAGGGAAGAGGAGGGAAGAGGAGGGAAGAGGAGGGAAGAGAAUAUGAGCUAAAAAAAGUAGUAUUAUUUAUUUAAAAAAAUAAAUGCCAGAAUCCUGGCUAAGAUGUGAAGAGUAUUUUUUUUUUUACCAAGUCUUCAUUUUUAUAGCUGCUGUCUCUUCUCCAUACCGAUUACAGAAUCACAGAAUCACCGAAUGUCUGAAUGGGAUUGGAAGGAAACUGGAAAGCUCAUCUAGUGCGAUCCCCCUGCCUUAGUCCUAGAUUAGGUUACACAUGCAUCCAGGCGAAUUUUGAAUGUCUCCAGAGGAGGAGACCCCACAACCUCUCCAGGCAACCUGUUCCAGUGCUCCAUCACCCUUACCAUAAAGAAGUUCUUCUACAUGAGAUCACUGAGGUUGGGAAAGACACGAUGGAUGACUCCGCCAGUGCAUCUAGGCUGUAUUUCCCAUGGGCAAUGAGUGAGUAAAGUCCAACAGCCCAUUGGAUUUCUUCCAUUGCCUUUCGUCCCUUGCUUGUGCUUUAUUUCUUCUGAAAGUAAGACCUCUCUUUUAUUUCUCUGUUUGUGCUUUUACUGAACAUAGAAGCAGGGGAAAAAAGAAUGAAUGGCAGGUGUCUUAAGUGUAUAGUGAGUUGCGUGCUCGUGGCUCAGUCUGAAGGUGAAGGUCUGCAAAUGGAGCCUUAUGACUGACUGCCACUAUAUGGCGAGCAAUGCAUGGCACUGGCAGCUCCCCCCUGGUUGGGAAAGGGAAGGAUAAGCUGCAGAAAGGAAUUCUUCUGCCUGUGCUGUAUGGGGGUUUGCAAUCAGCAAAGGACUUUGAGUAGGAGAGUGACUGAGCAAUAGAGAAUCUGCCCUUAGCUGGUCUUCAAGGCUUUUUAUUCUUGUGAGCUCUAGGAAGGGGAGAGCAUACAAGGGCAUGCUCAGGGCAAGUGAAGCAUUUUAAAAGCUUUCAGAUUGGAUGUUUUUCUUUUUCCAGUGUUCCAAAAGUAAAAGGAAGUAUGAACUGGAUUUCUCUGAUGAAUGUUCUUAAAGGCUCACAAUAACAGGCAAGCUGUCUGGUUUGUACUUUUCUUUCCUUUCUUUAACUAUCAUCUCUCUUUUCUUUAGCUAUCAGCUGGGUUUCAGAUAAUGAGGUUUGCAUGCAAUUCCUAAAGCAUGUGUGUGGCUCAUCAUUGCACACAGCCCGUCUUUGUUGUACACCACACUCCCACUUACAAACACAGCUGCAGAAGAUAUUUCCAAAGAGUGCUGAUCUGCAAAGAUGUGAGGUUGUAAAGAAUCACUGGAGUACAGACCCAGCUAGAUCCACAAAAGCCUGCAUAUCCUUAUGACUCUGUUUAUAUGAGCAGUCCCAUUAGUGUCCAUGGAAUCACUCUUGGAAGCCAAAUUAAGAAUAUAAAUGCAUCUUCCAGGACAAGGGGAAAUGGCCAGAACCUGCAGCAUAGGAAGUUCCGCACCAAUGUGUGCA